rnacentral:lncRNA from 1 species
GUAAGGCAGCUGGGCUCACAGCCCCUUUUUUCUGAGAGUGGGAGCCAAGUCGGGCCGCAGGUGAUAUCAUCUUCGCAGUUGGCGAACCUGGAGAUGGCGAGUGGAGAGCACCGCGGACAGGAGCGCGCGAGACCAGCACCAAGGAGAGCUCCCGCGGUCGCCAUCGUGAGAUAGGUCGCCAGGGGCGGAGUCCGGGCCAUGGACGGAGAGAUGUGCCAGCAAGGGACUCAGCGAGACGGCGACACAAAUGUGCCGACAAACAUAUACAGAGACAGACAGAGAUAACCCAGGCAAAGGCGCGGACUUGAGGCGACAAGCUCCUGGUGAAUACCCGGACCCAGCCUCGCCGUCGCCCCCGUCGUCCAGCAGGGGUCGCUGUUACCCAGCGACCGCGCCCUCCGGGACCUUGGGGCCAGAUACUGGCCACCACCCCUUGGGAAGCCCUUCUGUCCCCCAGUGCCAAGACUGGGAGUUCGGAGGGCUCGGACACUCUCCUCUCCAACUUUGGGAAGCAUGGUGGGUUUGGCCUCACCUGUGUGAACAUGGAGGAGCGGCGAGGGAGCUGAAAAGCGCUUUAACUGCCCCCCUCUCCAACUACCAGCUAAUCGCUCCUAUAAAUACAGACGGCCUGGCCUGGCUCCUU